rnacentral:tRNA from 1 species
GGGGAUUUAGCUCAGUGGUAGAGCACUUGCCUAGCAAGCACAAGGCCCUGGGUUCAGUCCCCAGCUCCU